AACGAACGCUGGCGGCAGGCUUAACACAUGCAAGUCGAGCGCCCCGCAAGGGGAGCGGCAGACGGGUGAGUAACGCGUGGGAAUCUACCCAUCUCUACGGAAUAACGCAUGGAAACGUGUGCUAAUAACGUAUACGUCCUUCGGGAGAAAGAUUUAUCGGAGAUGGAUGAGCCCGCGUUGGAUUAGCUAGUUGGUGGGGUAAAGGCCUACCAAGGCGACGAUCCAUAGCUGGUCUGAGAGGGUGAUCAGCCACACUGGGACUGAGACACGGCCCAGACUCCUACGGGAGGCAGCAGUGGGGAAUAUUGGACAAUGGGCGCAAGCCUGAUCCAGCUAUGCCGCGUGAGUGAUGAAGGCCCUAGGGUUGUAAAGCUCUUUCACCGGUGAAGAUGAUGACGGUAACCGGAGAAGAAGCCCCGGCUAACUUCGUGCCAGCCGCCGCAGUAAAAC
rnacentral:rRNA from 1 species